GCCCCUCGCCCCUCAAAGGCUGCAAUGACUCAGUCCUGUACCCUUCCAUAGCCAGGCUCAUGGCUGCCAGGGGCUUCCGAGCUUGCUUUUCUCUGGGACUCUACUGCUUUCUGCACAGAAGACCCAGCACUCACCCCAGACCAGCCCUGAAGAUAGUCUACUGACUUUAGAGGAAAGAGCUCCCGAGAGCACAAGUCCCCCUCCAGUGACACUGCCUGGGGUUCUUCCCAUAGGCAUCCUACAUGACCACUGUGCAGCUGGCUUCUAUUAGCUCAGAAGCAGCAAUGGGGACAUGCUGCGAUGGUUCUCACCCUUUCCAAUGUGCCUUCUGGUGUUUUCUAUCGUCGAAUUUCUGUUUACAUUUGAAAGAAGCCCAAGACAGAACCUAUUCCUGUUAUUGGAGGGGUCUGUGAAGCCAUCUAUGAGCACACUCCGGGAGGAUGCCUGGAAAGUCUCUCCGACCCGGUUGUUCAGUUCGUAGUAGGCAACAGAGCACCAGUGCAGGGGCUCCUCGUAGCAAACUGGCCGGAAGUCUGAAAGAAAACACGAGAGAAGAUGCCACACCCACAGGAAGCAGAGGCGGUCUCUUUAAACCAGAAAGCUAACUGUAGGACCUUUGCAGUCCUUCAGACUCCCGUGUUUGAGGAAAGCUACCUUGGGCUAGCUCAUUUGUUUACUGCAUCCAUGAGUUUAAGGCCAUGGUCCUUGUUAAUCUCCGCUGUGAGGGCAUCUGCAAACACUCUUGUUUACAGGUGCGAUGAUGGAAGGGCCCUGGGGAAAGACAGUGUGGGCAGAUUGAUGUAAAAUGUUGCCAUUCCCAGGGUAAUCACAGCUAAGAAAGAAGUGGCAGGUCACCUCAUCUAGAGAAAAAGAUGGCAUCCUGCUGUUACAGAACUGAACUGAACUGAACUGAACUGAACCCAGUGUCAAAAGCUUUAAUUUUGCAAUAUAAUUCUGCAAUAAAGUAAUGACAAGAA